rnacentral:rRNA from 1 species
UGGGACUGAGACCGGCCCAGACUCCUACGGGAGGCAGCAGUAGGAAUCUUCCGCAAUGGACGAAAGUCUGACGGAGCAACGCCGCGUGAGUGAUGAAGGUUUUCGGAUCGUAAAGCUCUGUUGUUAGGGAAGAACAAGUGCCGUUCAAAUAGGGCGGCACCUUGACGGUACCUAACCAGAAAGCCACGGCUAACUACGUGCCAGCAGCCGCGGUAAUACGUAGGUGGCAAGCGUUGUCCGGAAUUAUUGGGCGUAAAGGGCUCGCAGGCGGUUUCUUAAGUCUGAUGUGAAAGCCCCCGGCUCAACCGGGGAGGGUCAUUGGAAACUGGGGAACUUGAGUGCAGAAGAGGAGAGUGGAAUUCCACGUGUAGCGGUGAAAUGCGUAGAGAUGUGGAGGAACACCAGUGGCGAAGGCGACUCUCUGGUCUGUAACUGACGCUGAGGAGCGAAAGCGUGGGGAGCGAACAGGAUUAGAUACCCUGGUAGUCCACGCCGUAAACGAUGAGUGCUAAGUGUUAGGGGGUUUCCGCCCCUUAGUGCUGCAGCUAACGCAUUAAGCACUCCGCCUGGGGAGUACGGUCGCAAGACUGAAACUCAAAGGAAUUGACGGGGGCCCGCACAAGCGGUGGAGCAUGUGGUUUAAUUCGAAGCAACGCGAAGAACCUUACCAGGUCUUGACAUCCUCUGACAAUCCUAGAGAUAGGACGUCCCCUUCGGGGGCAGAGUGACAGGUGGUGCAUGGUUGUCGUCAGCUCGUGUCGUGAGAUGUUGGGUUAAGUCCCGCAACGAGCGCAACCCUUGAUCUUAGUUGCCAGCAUUCAGUUGGGCACUCUAAGGUGACUGCCGGUGACAAACCGGAGGAAGGUGGGGAUGACGUCAAAUCAUCAUGCCCCUUAUGACCUGGGCUACACACGUGCUACAAUGGACAGAACAAAGGGCAGCGAAACCGCGAGGUUAAGCCAAUCCCACAAAUCUGUUCUCAGUUCGGAUCGCAGUCUGCAACUCGACUGCGUGAAGCUGGAAUCGCUAGUAAUCGCGGAUCAGCAUGCCGCGGUGAAUACGUUCCCGGGCCUUGUACACACCGCCCGUCACACCACGAGAGUUUGUAACACCCGAAGUCGGUGAGGUAACCUUUAUGGAGCCA